UACAGAGGUCUCAAGCGUUGUCCGGAUUCAUUGGGCGUAAAGGGUGCGUAGGCGGCGAAGCAAGUCGGAUGUGAAAUCCCGGGGCUUAACCCCGGAACUGCAUUCGAUACUGCCUUGCUAGAGUACUGGAGAGGAGACUGGAAUUUACGGUGUAGCAGUGAAAUGCGUAGAUAUCGUAAGGAACACCAGUGGCGAAGGCGAGUCUCUGGACAGUUACUGACGCUGAGGCACGAAGGCCAGGGGAGCAAACGGG
rnacentral:rRNA from 1 species